ACAAUACCAGUAAAAAUUAAAAAACUAAAACCACAAACUUUAACUGAUUGAUUCGAUGACUUCCUUUUACUAGUGUUUCGUCUUCUUCUCCUUCUUCUUUCUUUCUUUCUUUCAUUCUUUGCAAACCCAAAAAAGUUAAGUGACAGAGAUGGGUGGAGCUAGGAUUUAACACCGGCAAGGCAGGGCGGAGGAGCAAAGGGGGCGAGUGUAGCAGAGAUCUAUUGUGGAAAGGCAACUUCUUUCUUCUUCGUGCUCAAGUCGUACUGGAAAAGAAAACAGAAACGCAGUUGAUUAAAAAAAAAGCUGGGCUAGAGAGUGAGAGAGGCCAGCAUGAAACAGAGAAGAAAAAUAGAGGGAAAGAGGAGAGAAAAAGUGGGUAUUGGUACUUUGACUUGAAGAUUCAGUGGUUGUUCUCAUUAAUUUUAGCUCAAAUUUUGGGUGGUGAAGCCUGCAACAUCUCUAAGGUACUCUCCUACUAUAAUCAUUUGGUGAGACCCAAACUUUUUCUAUGUAUAUCCAUUUUUAUAGAUGAUGACUAUGUGUAUUGUUGAUCCAAUAUUGUAUCUUGAUGUUGUUGUGAGCCUCUAGUUAUACUAGAAAAGAACAUUGUAAUCUCAUUAUUGAACUUUGGUGAUAAUGGAUGAUUUAAGCGGAUUACGGUCCCCGUAGUUUUUCCCA